CAACUUGAGAGUUUGAUCCUGGCUCAGAACGAACGCUGGCGGCAGGCUUAACACAUGCAAGUCGAGCGCACCUUCGGGUGAGCGGCGGACGGGUGAGUAACGCGUGGGAACGUGCCUUUCUCUACGGAAUAGCCUCGGGAA
rnacentral:rRNA from 1 species